GAUCGCCCUAUUCGCCGCCGCGUUUGUUUGGCGUCGCGAGAUCCUCGCCGCGAAUAAUUCGCCGAGGACGGUUCGCGCUAAUAAACGGAUCGCGGAACUCCGACGUGCGUGCGUGCGUGCGUGCGGUGCGUGCGUGUGAAGAGGGAAAGGGAAAGAGGCGAUAUAUAGAUUUGACGCGAGACGGAUCGAUCGCGCGGUGCAUCGUGCCACGGACGGACGACGAUGACGACGAGGACGACGAGGUGGAGGAGAACGAAGAGGUUGAUCGCCUCGGCGCGGGACGGUUUCUAGGCUAAGCGCACGUCCGGCAGGGCGGGCGUCCGUUUUAUCGUGCGCGGUGCGUCACGGAAAAGUGCGUCGGGGCCGUCGGGCAGUCUCGAUAAACACGCUCGUGCACAACGAGAAGGCGGCCACCUCGUUAGACGCGGCCACCACCGCCGCCGCUGCCGUCGUCAUCAUCGUCGUCGACGUCACCGCCCUCCUCUUCCUCCCCCUUUUCGCGCGAUCGGGAGUCCCGCGUUCCCGACUGGAGCAAGACGCGUUACUCGUUUGUUCUUGCGGCGAGGCUGCUUCCUACUCCGCAGGUGGUGCGUAACGAGGCGGCGAAAAAAAGAGAUUGGGGGAGACAGACGGUGAGAUAGAGAGAUUGAGUGAGAGAGGGGUGAGGGGGAAUGGAAAGCGGCGCGUUAUCGGCCGUUUCCGAGCCCUUUGUCGAUCGCCACGCCUUCGAGGCUGCGUUUGCGCCACGUUAUUUGCGCAACAGUUGGAAGCUGGAAUUUCGUCUCCCCGAAAAUCACCCCCGCACGCGGCCCAAGUAAGGAAGGGAGAGAACUACGCGACUGCCGCCGCCGCCGCCGCCUUCCUUCCCGUCGUCGUCGGACGAGGAACCCAGGGAGCAGCAGCUCGCUGGCUGGCUGGCACACCACCACCACCAUCGCCGCCACUACCACUACCGUCGCCAGCCCCCCUCGCCCUUCCGUUUUACAAGGAGGGCCGACCGUCGUCGACAGUCCGUGAAUCGUGCGCACACAUGGCCAAUUGCCGUACGUUACAUGCACUUAUACGGGGUGUACCCGAAGACGCGCGCUUCCUUAGUGGCUAAGAAGCGAGACGGUUGUUGCGGUCGGUUUCGAGGCAUCCGUCAUUAUCAGGCUAACGUGCGCGGAAAAUUAACAAUCGUAUAUAGGAGUCGGUAGUUGUAAAGUCGGAUUUGAGGGUCGGCGAUCAUUGAAUCGUUAGCUUCAUCGCGGAUUGAAAUCGGUAGAGUAAGAUAUCUAUUAAGACAGAUCCUACUUAUACGAUAAUAUAUAGAAUUACGAAAUAAAAUCAGAAUUUAACGAAAUCGUUAAUCGAACGAGAACGGUGACCGAUAGAUUUCGAGCGGGAAGGAGCCCGAAGGAAGUCCGCGAUUUCCGGAGCAUCCCGUAUAACCGCGUCACAUACUUGUAUCGUUUCAUACGCUAAAUUUAACGACUGACCCGAUCAAUUAACUCGGGGCUCGGACGCGAAGGCGUAGUUGCAUGGCGACGCUCGUUCAAUUUCCUUCGACUUCCACUGCGUAUAGCGCUUUCGCAGAUAUAUAUAACGCUACGCAGUAAUAAGCGAAAUAAAAUUUCUCGUGAGCUCUUUUCUCCCCGUGAAAUACAUCGGCAAAUCGGAAUUCAAUUUCACCACGGUCGUCUCACGCAACACGCCGCUUCGUGCCACGCACUUCGAGGUGCAUCCGACGCACCCAUGCAGAGAUCCCACUUUACGCAUUGUUAAACGACGCCUUUUGCAAAAUUAUGCGAGCUCCUCGGAAUCGAGGUAGAAGUGAAUCUGGCCUAUUAUUAUGCAUCAAUAUACCGAUUCGACACAUUGCGACAAAAUUA